AAGUGAAACUAAAGUCCUGUUCGGGGCUCUCGCGGAGACAGGAGUCCCUCGCUGAGCCGCAAUCCAGCGCUUUCAGCGCCUGCUCCCUGUCCGAGCGCCCCGAACCGCAGCCUACCCCUUCCCGCCGCAGUCGGAAGCGCAGUUGAAUAGAGGCGUGCGGCGUGGCAAAUCUCGCGCGAUCUCCUUCCGUCCCGCGCGGAGCUUGUGUUGCUAGGUCCACGUCGCACAGGCGCGUCCGUCGGGAGGAGCGGGCCUGGGCUCCGGGAACGUCCCUGGCACUGAGGUCCCGAAACCUGGGGAUUUCCCGGUUGACAGAUGGAGUGGCCAGUCGUUCAGGACAGCCCCAGACAGAAAAGUUCUGAGAGAGGACAUGAGUGUGAACAGAAAGAAUACAACCACCAACUCGUGCAGUAAAUGUUGGGUUUGCAGCAUCAUAAGAAUGCCUCAUAAAUUGAGUACAGAUCACUGCUGCUGUCUGUCUCAUCCUUCUGAAAACAUAUUUGGGAUGUUUUAGGAGUCAGUGACCUUUGAGGAUGUGGCUGUGAACUUCACCCAGGAGGAGUGGGCUUUGCUGAAGCCUUCUCAGAAGAAUCUCUACAGAGCUGUGAUGCAAGAGACCUUCUGGAACCUGGCUUCUGUAGGUCAAAAAUGGCAGUACCAGACCAUUGAAGAUGUGCACAAAAAUCUCAACAAAAGUCUAAGAUGUCAAGUGCUAAAGAAAUUCUUUAAACAUAAAGAAAGUAGACAACAUGGAGAAAUGUUCAGCAAGAUUCCAGAUCAUAGAGUGAACAAGAAAACUUCUAGGGUAAAACGACAUAAAAGCCACCUGUGUAGAGAAGUGGUCAGUAGUCUUUCAUUGUUUCCGAGAGACAUAAUAAUUAACCAUGGACACAGGCUAUCUGAGUAUCAGGACUGUACAGGGAGGCCCCAUGAAUGUAACAAAUGUGAUAAAGCUUUUAAGUGGCCUUGUGACCUUCGAAAUCAUGAAAGGACCCACACUGGAGAGAAACCUUACACAUGUGUGCAGUGCGGGAAAACCUUUGCUUGUUCUACCUACUAUCGAAGACAUGCACAAAUUCACACUGGAGAAAAGCCCUAUAUAUGCCAGCAAUGUGGGAAAUCCUUCCGGUGUUCCAGUUUCCUUGAAAUACAUGAAAGAAUCCACACUGGAGAGAAACCUUUUGUAUGUAAGCAUUGUGCAAAAGCCUUCACUCGUGCCAGUACUCUUCGAAUACAUGAAAGAAACCAUAAUGGAGAGAAACCUUACGUGUGUGAUCUAUGUGGGAGAGCUUUCCGAGAGUACAGCAAAAUGCUAAGGCAUGGAAAAACUCAUAAUGAGGACAGACACUGUGCAUGUGAGGAAUGUGGGAGAGUCUUCAGGAGCUAUGGUUACUUGCAAAAGCAUACCAGGAUUCAUGCUCACCAGAAACCCUAAAUACAGAAUGUGGAAGGCCUCUUUAUCUGCCAUCCACCGUAGCAUACCUAAGAAUGCCUAGAGGAGGGCCUCCUGUCAAGGUACAGUGGGAAAGCCUCUAGCACGUGGGUUCCAUUCACAGGGUUGAAAGAACACAGUAUUGAGAAAAACAUCAUUAGUGGAAGAGAUGUGCAAAACUCUAGUUGGUCCACUUGUAAGCAUGUACACUGGAUCAAAACCAUGUGAAUGAGAAAAAUACAAGAAAGAUAUCAGUUGUAAUAGUUUCAGUGUCCUGUAAAAAUUCCUUAGUCUUGAAAGCCUAUGAAUGUAAGUAAUAUAAAGGGUAUAAUGCUAUACCUCAUCUGAUGAAGGAAACCUAAAAGGUACGUUAUUAUUGUGUCCAUCAUUGGCUCUUUUUCAGGGUGGAUGGUGUUUGAUUGAAUCAAAUAAUAAAAGUAUAAUUAUUCUACUGUCCUCAUGCAGCAGGUUCUAGAUAUUUCUCACAUUUUGCACAUUUUUAUAACUGAGAAUGGAUUUUGUUUUACCAGUUUUAGGACACAUUUACAGUAUGUCUUUGUCUUGAUCUGUCCUGAUCUCUGAGGAGCAUCGUUUGAUGUUGUGUGUAACUUCUCUUCAUAAGCCAUGACGUUGUAAAUGUGAGGCCAACUGAAGUCUUCUCAGCGUUUUUUUCUUUCUACUUAGUAUCUAAACACUGAAUCAUUUCCUACAUCGUACAGUACACUCUUCUCCAUAAAUCAAAUAUUCUUCAACACAGGGUAAGGUUACAUUUCUAUAAACCUGUGAUAAAAAAAUAUGAAAAUUUGAAGAAACAGUACACCUAACCCACUGAUUAUCAGUGAGUCUCCCCUAAAAUAAACUCACAUCACUUACAAAAGUCCAUGGGCACGCAAAAUGAUCUAGCAGGUGUGUUAUGUGAAUAGGUGUUGUAAAUGUAGUGUAAUUCAUUCAGUAUAGUCAUCAUGUAGUGUGGAUUGCUUACCUUCACGAUCAUGUGUGAUUCUGCCUAGCAUAAUGAGAGAGUGGCCUGGCACCUACCACCAUUGUGAAACAUUAAUCUUGAAACUCUACUGCAUGCAUAUUACUUUCCUAUCAUCGUUAAUAUUAUCAGUUGGUGUUCAUCCCUGUGUCAGUUAAAAUAUAUGCAUUCACUGAA